rnacentral:misc_RNA from 1 species
GUCAAGAGUGCUCCACAAAGCAUUUGGUAUGGCCCAGACCGCCCAAAGUACCUGGGUCCAUUCUCUGAGCAAACUCCAUCUUACCUUACUGGUGAAUUCCCUGGUGACUAUGGAUGGGACACUGCUGGUUUAUCUGCAGAUCCUGAGACAUUUGCUAAGAACCGUGAGCUUGAGGUAAUUCACUGCAGAUGGGCCAUGCUUGGUGCACUUGGCUGCGUCUUCCCUGAAAUCCUUUCGAGGAAUGGUGUCAAAUUUGGCGAGGCAGUUUGGUUCAAAGCUGGAGCCCAAAUCUUUUCUGAAGGUGGUCUUGAUUACCUUGGCAACCCAAACCUUAUCCAUGCUCAGAGCAUUCUUGCAAUUUGGGCUGUCCAGGUUGUGCUAAUGGGAUUUGUUGAAGGCUAUAGAGUUGGUGGAGGACCACUCGGUGAAGGACUUGAUCCCAUUUACCCUGGUGGUGCCUUUGACCCUCUGGGACUAGCUGAUGAUCCUGACGCAUUUGCAGAAUUGAAAGUCAAAGAGAUUAAGAACGGACGUUUGGCAAUGUUUUCCAUGUUUGGAUUCUUUGUUCAGGCUAUUGUGACUGGAAAGGGACCUAUUGAGAAUCUCUAUGAUCACUUAGCUGAUCCAGUGGCUAACAAUGCAUGGGCUUAUGCCACUAACUUUGUACCUGGAAAAUGAAGAGAGAAUCAGGUUACAACAUUACUCAGUCCUGGUCCUUCUAAUUUCUUGAAAUGUUACUUUCUUAUUGUGGACUCCAUCAUUACUCGUGUUUUAGUAGUGGAAAUCAAGCAUUGUAUCAACAAAGCGUCAGAUCAGAUUUCUCCCUGCUUGAACCUAUGUAUUUGGUACGAAUAUGCCAUAAAUUACUUUAAAAAA